AGCGAACGCUGGCGGCAGGCCUAACACAUGCCAGUCGAACGAACCUUUCGGGGUUAGUGGCGGACGGGUGAGUAACACGUGGGAACGUGCCUUUAGGUUCGGAAUAACUCAGGGAAACUUGUGCUAAUACCGAAUGUGCCCUUCGGGGGAAAGAUUAAUCGCCUUUAGAGCGGCCCGCGUCUGAUUAGCUAGUUGGUUGAGGUAAUGGCUCACCAAGGCGACGAUCAGUAGCUGGUCUGAGAGGAUGAUCAGCCACAUUGGGACUGAGACACGGCCCAAACCCAGCCGGGGGGAAGCGGGGGGAAUUCUGGCGAAAGGGGAGAGACCUGGACAACCCCAUGCCGGGUAAAGAAAAAGGGUCUUGGGAUUGAAAAUUUUUUCCCCGGGGGCCGAUAAUGACGGUCCCGGGGGAAGAACCCCCGGCUAACUCCGUG
rnacentral:rRNA from 1 species